rnacentral:rRNA from 1 species
UACGCUUGUUGGUGAGUAAUGGCUCACCAAGGCGACGACGGGUAGCCGGCCUGAGAGGGCGACCGGCCACACUGGGACUGAGACACGGCCCAGACUCCUACGGGAGGCAGCAGUGGGGAAUAUUGCACAAUGGGCGAAAGCCUGAUGCAGCGACGCCGCGUGAGGGAUGACGGCCUUCGGGUUGUAAACCUCUUUCAGCAGGGAAGAAGCGAAAGUGACGGUACCUGCAGAAGAAGCGCCGGCUAACUACGUGCCAGCAGCCGCGGUAAUACGUAGGGCGCGAGCGUUGUCCGGAAUUAUUGGGCGUAAAGAGCUCGUAGGCGGCUUGUCGCGUCGGUUGUGAAAGCCCGGGGCUUAACCCCGGGUCUGCAGUCGAUACGGGCAGGCUAGAGUUCGGUAGGGGAGAUCGGAAUUCCUGGUGUAGCGGUGAAAUGCGCAGAUAUCAGGAGGAACACCGGUGGCGAAAGCGGAUCUCUGGGCCGAUACUGACGCUUAAGAGCGAAAGCGUGGGGAGC